AGAACGAACGCUGGCGGCAUGCCUAACACAUGCAAGUCGAACGCUUUUGGGGCUUCGGUCCCAAAGGAGUGGCGCACGGGUGAGUAGCGCGUGGGAACCUGCCCUGGAGUGGGGGGAUAACCGAGGGAAACUUCGGCUAAUACCGCAUACGCCGGGAAACCGGGAAAGAUUUAUCGCUCUAGGAGGGGCCCGCGUCGGAUUAGGUAGUUGGUGGGGUAACGGCCUACCAAGCCUGUGAUCCGUAGCUGGUCUGAGAGGAUGAUCAGCCACACUGGGACUGAGACACGGCCCAGACUCCUACGGGAGGCAGCAGUGGGGAAUAUUGGACAAUGGGCGCAAGCCUGAUCCAGCAAUGCCGCGUGAGUGAUGAAGGCCUUCGGGUUGUAAAGCUCUUUCGCACGCGAGGAUGAUGACGCUAGCGUGAGAAGAAGCCCGGCUAACUCGUGCCAGCAGCCGC
rnacentral:rRNA from 1 species